UGAGGAUGUGCCACGGCUUUGCCACGGUCUGGCCUUCAACGACACUCUCAGGGUCCUCAAGCUCUCCCAAAACCCUAUGACAGAAGUCGGAGCUCUGACGCUGCUCCAAACAGUUAAAAACUCAAAAUCAGCAUUGGAGGAGAUCGAUAUUUCUACAGUGUUUGUG